rnacentral:lncRNA from 1 species
AUUUUAUUAUAUAUAAAAUAUUUAUUUAUGAUAACAACUUUUAUUGUCUUGUAAAUAAUGAUAUAUUUUGUAGUAUGACUAACCAGAUAAAAAAAGGAGAUCUUUUGGAUAGUGCUAAUGGAAAUAGUGACGAAACAAAUGACAAAACAAAUGACGAAAUACAUGACGAAACGGAUAGCGAUAGUGAUUGUGAUUGUGAUUGUAGCAGUAAUGAUAGCGAUAUUAUAGGCCGUAGUUAUCACAAUACUUUUGAAGAAGAGAGAGGAAGCGAAGUUUGUACGGACAACCCAAAAUACACUUGUAGAAGCCAAGUUGCUUAUUCCUUUGACCAAGAAAAAAAUAUAUGCAACAAAAAACUAAUUGUAAAAAAAAAAAAGGAAGCUGAUGAAAAGGAAGCUGAUAAAAACGAAACUUGUAAAAACGAAACUUGUAAAAACGAAACUUGUAAAAACGAAACUUGUAAAAACGAAACUUGUAAAAACGAAACUUGUAAAAACGAAACUUGUAAAAACGAAACUUGUAAAAACGAAACUUGUAAAAACGAAACUUNNAAAAAUAAAUACACGAGCUCAACCAGCGAAAUGAAUGAAUAUACUUUACAAAAAGAAGCAAACAAAACAGAAGAAAUGCGAAUUGGUAAAAAAAUGACAUAUAACAAUAAUGACAAUAUUGAAAAGGACUGUGAUAAAUUAAGUCAUAAUAAUAACAGCAGUGGUGGUAAUUAUAUAAACGCCGAAAAUAAUACUAUUCAUAAUAGUAGCUGUAAUAAAACACAAUACAUUAAAAUCAAUGCUAAUUCGAUGCAUAAGAACAAAAAAAAAUGUAAAAAAAAAAGUUAUAGCAUAUGUAACAGAGUAUUAAAAGAGUUGUAUAAAAAAUAUAUACAACAAGAUCCUUUACGCCAUUUAUAUGAUAAUAUUUUUAUUAAAAAUUGCGAAAUAGUAACAAACACAGAAGAAAUUAAAAACAAUUUUGUUAGUUUUAGUUCUUACAUUUCUCCAUAUAUAAAUACAUUGCCUUAUCGAAAUUCAAAUAAAAAAAUU